rnacentral:rRNA from 1 species
AAUGAACGCUGGCAGCAUGCCUAACACAUGCAAGUCGAACGAGACCUUCGGGUCUAGUGGCGCACGGGUGCGUAACGCGUGGGAACCUGCCCUUAGGUUCGGAAUAACUCCCCGAAAGGGGUGCUAAUACCGGAUAAUGUCUUCGGACCAAAGAUUUAUCGCCUUUGGAUGGGCCCGCGUUGGAUUAGCUAGUUGGUAGGGUAAAAGCCUACCAAGGCGACGAUCCAUAGCUGGUCUGAGAGGAUGAUCAGCCACACUGGGACUGAGACACGGCCCAGACUCCUACGGGAGGCAGCAGUGGGGAAUAUUGGACAAUGGGCGAAAGCCUGAUCCAGCAAUGCCGCGUGAGUGAUGAAGGCCUUAGGGUUGUAAAGCUCUUUUACCCGGGAUGAUAAUGACAGUACCGGGAGAAUAAGCUCCGGCUAACUCCGUG